GAUGAACGCUGGCGGCGCGCCUAAUACAUGCAAGUCGAGCGAACGGACGAGAAGCUUGCUUCUCUGAUGUUAGCGGCGGACGGGUGAGUAACACGUGGAUAACCUACCUAUAAGACUGGGAUAACUUCGGGAAACCGGAGCUAAUACCGGAUAAUAUUUUGAACCGCAUGGUUCAAAAGUGAAAGACGGUCUUGCUGUCACUUAUAGAUGGAUCCGCGCUGCAUUAGCUAGUUGGUAAGGUAACGGCUUACCAAGGCAACGAUGCAUAGCCGACCUGAGAGGGUGAUCGGCCACACUGGAACUGAGACACGGUCCAGACUCCUACGGGAGGCAGCAGUAGGGAAUCUUCCGCAAUGGGCGAAAGCCUGACGGAGCAACGCCGCGUGAGUGAUGAAGGUCUUCGGAUCGUAAAACUCUGUUAUUAGGGAAGAACAUAUGUGUAAGUAACUGUGCACAUCUUGACGGUACCUAAUCAGAAAGCCACGGCUAACUACGUGCCAGCAGCCGCGGUAAUACGUAGGUGGCAAGCGUUAUCCGGAAUUAUUGGGCGUAAAGCGCGCGUAGGCGGUUUUUUAAGUCUGAUGUGAAAGCCCACGGCUCAACCGUGGAGGGUCAUUGGAAACUGGAAAACUUGAGUGCAGAAGAGGAAAGUGGAAUUCCAUGUGUAGCGGUGAAAUGCGCAGAGAUAUGGAGAAACACCAGUGGCGAAGGCGACUUUCUGGUCUGUAACUGACGCUGAUGUGCGAAAGCGUGGGGAUCAAACAGGAUUAGAUACCCUGGUAGUCCACGCCGUAAACGAUGAGUGCUAAGUGUUAGGGGGUUUCCGCCCCUUAGUGCUGCAGCUAACGCAUUAAGCACUCCGCCUGGGGAGUACGACCGCAAGGUUGAAACUCAAAGGAAUUGACGGGGACCCGCACAAGCGGUGGAGCAUGUGGUUUAAUUCGAAGCAACGCGAAGAACCUUACCAAAUCUUGACAUCCUUUGACAACUCUAGAGAUAGAGCCUUCCCCUUCGGGGGACAAAGUGACAGGUGGUGCAUGGUUGUCGUCAGCUCGUGUCGUGAGAUGUUGGGUUAAGUCCCGCAACGAGCGCAACCCUUAAGCUUAGUUGCCAUCAUUAAGUUGGGCACUCUAAGUUGACUGCCGGUGACAAACCGGAGGAAGGUGGGGAUGACGUCAAAUCAUCAUGCCCCUUAUGAUUUGGGCUACACACGUGCUACAAUGGACAAUACAAAGGGCAGCGAAACCGCGAGGUCAAGCAAAUCCCAUAAAGUUGUUCUCAGUUCGGAUUGUAGUCUGCAACUCGACUACAUGAAGCUGGAAUCGCUAGUAAUCGUAGAUCAGCAUGCUACGGUGAAUACGUUCCCGGGUCU
rnacentral:rRNA from 1 species